CGGGUGGCCGCCGUCCAGCACCCCCCGGGUCGGGGAGAGAGCCGGCGCGACCCAGGGGCGGCCUGGGGAAGGGCGGGGCGAGAGCUCAGGAGGCCUGCUACCCGGACAGGCUCUCUGCAAGAGAAAUCUAAGUGAGCUAGUCCUCAUAGCUGCGGAGGGUAUGGCUGGCGACUCAGUCUUAGCUCUCUGUGCCCGGAGUGUCUAGGUUUCUGAAAGAAGGACCAAAUUCAUGCCAAGAACACCCAGAUGAAGAGGACCUUCCUGGAUCUGUAACUGGGAUUAACCAAUUCUUUAAGAGAAAGUUGCAAUGAAUUCUGAGGAUAAAGCCAAAAUGGGCUCCUGACUGUUCCUUGAGUACUGACAGCGUAAACAAGCUUCUGGCUCCUUCAGGGGCCAGGACUACUCUUCAGACGUUUCCUCUGCAACUGCCCCACACCCCUGGCUGGCUCAGUUGGGUCUCUUUACUCCACUCCAGGCUGGAAGUUUCUCCUGGAAGCCAGGGCAAGCUCACCCUCUGCCUAAAUCUCUUUCCCCACCCACACCUCCUAGUCAGCAGUGGGCCCUUUGGGUAGCCUCCUCUCCACCCUGCUUUAAUUCACGUUUGAUUGCCUGGACAGAAUAACCGGGGGCUCCCAAACGGCUGCUACCCCCAUCCAUGGGCCUGGGUUGUUGACUCUGAGCCCUUUCUUCAAGCCUCAGGGGGAUCCCCCACAACCUCCCUGACCCCUCCCCUUCCCCCACUUCACCCUUCAGGGGUCUCUGUAGGAAAAAAAUAAAAAAGAGCUGAUCAAGGCCUGAGCCAAAGAGCCACUUCCUCUCCUGGAGCAGCAAACGAGGUACACCUCCCAGAGACCAAGGCUCAAAGCCGGCCCAGCCUUCCUCAGCGCCAGGCACAGGCCCAGCGGUGCCAUUGUGAGGCCUUACCCGACGCCGAGCCCCUGGGGAAGCCUCGCACACAAAGGCACAGGGCUCCCGGAAGCCCUGGCUGCUGUGAGCGCCCGCAACCCCGCGCCGGACAGUGAGGGGCCAGCAGCCUCGAGGCCUUGGUGCGUUCACCGUUGCCCCCGGUGAGCCUGUCUCGGGCCCAAGUCACGGGCUAGGCUGGAGGUUUCCUUCUCCUGCCAACUUGCCCCUUCCCGCUGCAAGUCACACACUCCCCCACUUCCCCGGGGAUGGAGAGGCCUGGGCUCAGGGCGCCAUUGCCCAGUCCAGGCUCCCCUCCCCCACUCUCUCCUUUCUCUGCUUCUCGGAGAUCGGUGAGGGAGGAGGCGGGUGCCUCCGCCAAUAGAGCUGCUAUUGUGACCUUCCCUCGCGGAGCGGGAACCCAACCGAGAGUGUACCGCCGGCGGGGGAGGAGGCGACUGUGUGUGCAGACCUCGGGGUGCGGAGGGGGUGGGACUGGGAAAUAAAUAAAGGUUUGCAACCUUGGGCAGUU